rnacentral:lncRNA from 1 species
AACUAUUUUACUAUUCACUUUUGGUCGAACUGAACACAAAGCCACCAGUUAAGAGGAUGGGUUCAUCAAAGACAUCAGAGGGAGGCACUUUCCAUUCAGAGGAUUUUAAGGGCCGAUCCUCAUUCACUUAAUGUUUUGUUAAUUCAAAAAUGAAAAUCAGUGAGCUGCAUCAGGACCCUUCUGCACAUCCUCCCAGAUCCAGGGGAGCUCCUGGCAAUAGACUGAGGGCCUGCCCCAACAGUGGCAUCAUAAAAUUAUUGGACAUCAGCCUGCUCUGCGAAGUUGUACUGAAGUUUCCAGAG